GAAGCAAAGAGCUUCCUGCUGACUCUUCAGCUAUCUCUGUAGGCGGUGACAUGCUUUCUGGAAAAGUGUGCGAGGAAACGAUCAACAAUGAAGCAGGGAUGCAAUCAGAGAAAUCUCAGAGUGGUGGUAAUGCUGAGGAGAGCCAGAUGGCUCUCAAGCUGAGCUUUACACUACCAGCUUCUUGCUAUGCAACUAUGGCUGUGAGGGAGCUGCUGAAAACAUCCACUUCUGUUGCAUUUCACAAAUCACUGAAUGAUUAAGCAAACUCUCGUCUACAAAGAACAUUUUGGCUUUUGAAGUGGUUACCUACUUACCUUUGCUAAGUACCAUUGCGUUAGAUAGUUUCGGGGAACAUUGUUUUCCAGUGAUCAAAGUGACGUUGCAAAGGAAAUCAGCCACGAGUUUCAGUCUCCGCCCUCGGUUGUACUGCUAAUUCACCUUUCGAUAAGCUUUACUGAUGAUAUAGGAUUAGCAAAUGUGUAGUAGAAUGUAAAGAGCCAAUUGAAUC
rnacentral:misc_RNA from 1 species